rnacentral:rRNA from 1 species
UACCAGCACCCCGAGUGGUCGGGACGAUUAUUGGGCCUAAAGCAUCCGUAGCCGGCCUUACAAGUCCCCCGUUAAAUCCAACUGCUUAACAGAUGGGCUGCGGAGGAUACUAUAAGACUAGGAGGCAGGAGAGGCAAGCGGUACUCAGUGGGUAGGGGUAAAAUCCGUUGAUCCAUUGAAGACCACCAGUGGCGAAGGCGGCUAUCUGGACGGUUUCUGACACUAAGACUCGAAAGCGUGGGGAGCAAACAGG